UGGUGCGUACGAUCGCACAGGAGAAGAGGAGAAAGGGGCACAAACCCUAAUUCAAGAUAAACCUUAAAAUUGAAAGGGGAAACUGGCUCUAAUUGGAUGCAUGGACCUAGAUUCUUAAUCAUCUAGACUUUCUACACAUGAGCUCGACUCUUGACAAGCUAUAUGGGAUCUUGGAAAAGAAUGGGUUAAUCGGGUCAAGUACGCAAAGAAGCUCUAAUGGACACAAAUCACUUGUUCAUAGGAACGAAUAGCAAUUUGGAUAAUUGCGUCGCCAUAAAGUUUCGGCUAAUAAAGCGAGGUAUAAAAACGGGUCUAUGCGUUGACUCGAGCCAGGUACGCGACGAAACGUUUUGUUGUUGUUAAUUGUUAAUACGUAAAUCUUAUAUAUUGAUGAUAUAUGAAAGUUCGAGAUGUAAAAAUGUUUGAUUUGUCUAUAAUAAGGAUUUAUGAUAGACAAAUCAACGGGUUGAGCAAUAAUAGGUGCAAACCGGGUAAAUGGGUGCACAAUUCCAUAAGUGCUAAGCCCGGGGUUACGGGUAAAGAAACAUUAAACACACAAGCCGGUAGUCGAAGCGAGAAUGCGAGUGGAUUAAAGGAUUUGGGGACGGGUUGACAAAUUGAGUAUUAAGUCCCAUGCAUAGGAAUGUGAUUGAAAUAGGAUUUAUUGCUUAUUAGCGAACUAACCUCGUGUAUGUGUUUAUACAGUUUAAAUCAGUUGAAGUAAUAAGUUACUAAACCAUUGUCUUGAGUAUGAAAUGAGAAUGCAGGUAUUCUUUUAACGUCGUUAUCAAGGUUAAAGAAUUUGGAAUGCACGAAUGUACACGGAAAGCUUAUUCGUGGGGAUUAGUAUGGGAAGAAGGAACGCGGACUGGCUAUUGAUUACGUAGUUCUAGUUUAGGAAUGAUGUCAUUGUAUCUAACCGCUGUAUAUGUAUGUGGUGAAUGCAGGUGGCGUGGACUUAGCAUCGUUACGAAGAAAAGAAGGUUUGAAGAUCGAGUCAAGAGCGAGGGUUGUACGGGAAGGAUCAGUCACAUAAUUUGACAAAAAAAGAUAUAUAGGUCUUGAAGUAUUAAUAUAAUGGGACGUGGUAAAUUCCUUUUUAAUGAGUGUAUGAAUUUUUGUCUUGGAACCUUCGUGUAAGUAUUAUGUCUAGUAAAGAACAAAAUUUUUGGGCUCUUAUUUUCCGCUGUGUCGUAUUUUAAGUUAUUACACGUUAGUCUUACAGGGAAUUGUUCUUAUUACGAACGGGUCAUGCCCGAAUUUUGUUAAAUAAUAGUAUGAUAAUAGUCAUU